rnacentral:rRNA from 1 species
AUUGAACGCUGGCGGCAUGCUUUACACAUGCAAGUCGAACGGUAACAGGCCGCAAGGUGCUGACGAGUGGCGAACGGGUGAGUAAUGCAUCGGAACGUGCCCAGUCGUGGGGGAUAACGCAGCGAAAGCUGCGCUAAUACCGCAUACGAUCUAUGGAUGAAAGCGGGGGACCGUAAGGCCUCGCGCGAUUGGAGCGGCCGAUGUCAGAUUAGGUAGUUGGUGGGGUAAAGGCUCACCAAGCCGACGAUCUGUAGCUGGUCUGAGAGGACGACCAGCCACACUGGGACUGAGACACGGCCCAGCCUCCUACGGGAGGCAGCAGUGGGGAAUUUUGGACAAUGGGCGCAAGCCUGAUCCAGCAAUGCCGCGUGCAGGAAGAAGGCCUUCGGGUUGUAAACUGCUUUUGUACGGAACGAAACGGCGAGCUCUAAUACAGUUUGCUAAUGACGGUACCGUAAGAAUAAGCACCGGCUAACUACGUGCCAGCCGCCGCAGUAAGAC